CAGCUCUGCCUUUCGGACAUGAUCUAGUGACGAAAUCAGCAGAGAAGAUCCGCGCUGCCACUUUGGUGGUCUUCCUGGAUUGACCUAGAGGUGAAGCUCAAGAGGAUGGAUGCCAAAGCCUUCCUCGGGGACCUGAGUACAGAUGUUGACAGUAUGCAUAGAAAAUGUACAUACCACAGCUGUUCCCCAUGAAUUCACAGCUUGAAGACUGCUCCCCUCAAAAGACUGUUCUUACCAAGAUUAGUUAAACAUGCCUCCUUGAUCCCCCUGUAUACCAUAAACUCUGCCUUUCUGUUGGAGUGCAUGUAAUAAACACCCUGAGCUUGUU